rnacentral:lncRNA from 1 species
UUCUUAGAGUUCUGGAGGCUGGAGGUCUGAGAUCAGAGUGAGAGCUCCCCCAAAUUCCUGAAGGAAACCCUGGGAGGAACCUCACCAUAAGCACCAAGAAGGGCCGAGGCCGUGUGGGAGCAGAGUGGGAGCUGACAGCUGCCCACACCUCACUGUCCCUCCCAUCCUUGCAGCCAGCCUGCCAGGUAGAACGUGCCUGAGCUGGAGCUCCAUCACAGCAGGCCGGCGGCCUACCCUGGCAGACACCCACCUGCCUGCUGCCUGCUUCCCACCAGCCACGUUCGCUUCCUCUUGA